CGGGACUUUGACUCUGUUUGACUUCCGGCAUGUGGCGAUGAAUCGCUUAUUCAGACAGGGAGAUGAGGUUUCUUAAAUAUGGAUCAAAGUGUUGAAAUUACUCAAUUACAUUUACAAAAUGAAAACGUUACAGCAAGGCGUUUGUGAGAAAAAUGAAUGAAGAAAUUAAAACAACUUUUUCCACAUUGCAUUACAACUACAUAGCUGACGCUGGAUUGCUAAAUUAGUUUAUUUUCAUUGAAGUAGCAUGGCUAGUUAGCUAGUUAGCAAUAGUCUUCUGUCUAGACUCUAGCCUGUAACUAAUGGUUGUUACGUUGUGGAACAGAGCAAUAGUUAUUUCUACUUGUCAUUAGUUUGAGACUAACAUUAGUUAGAAAAUAAUUGUUUACUUUGUGUAUAUUUGUUGUGUAAUUGGUUGGCGUUGCUAGUUAGCAAGCUGAGAUUGAUUUGCUCAAAUUGGCUAAUUUUGCGAUUAACUAGUGUUUUAAUAAGAGAACAGGCUAGCUCCCUGCACAACCUAGAGUAGAGAAUGUGGAAUAAGAUUUGUCUGUUGCAGUGCCCAGACGAGGUGAGAGCAAACUGCUACAGAGAUAAAAGCCACAACAUCAUAAUCAAGUACUCAAGCAUCUGCAGACCAACGAGGAGGAGGAAGGCUUAUAGAACAUGAAUUACUAGCUCGUUAUAUCAGAGACAUUUUAUUGGCUUGCUAAAUGAGCUGCUUUUCCUGAAAAUGUCUCUGAUAAAACUACACUGUUAGAAAAAAAGGUGCUAUCCAGAACUUAGUUAUUCAGCUGUCCCCAUAGGAUAACUUUUUGAAGAACUCUUGUUGGUUCCAGGUAGAACCCUUGUUGGUUCCAGGUAGAACCCUUUCCACGGAGGGUUCUACAUGGAUCCCAAAAUGGUUAUACCUGGAACCAAAAAGUGUUAUACUAUGGGGACGGCUGAAGAACCCUUUAUUUCUAAGUGUAUCUAGUUGUUGUUCUAUUGCAAUGUCCAUGUUACAUUACAUUACAUUUAACAUUUACAUUUAAGUCAUUUAGCAGACGCUCUUAUCCAGAGCAAACACCAUGCUCUACCAACUGAGCCACAGGGAACUGAGCCACAGGGAACUGAGCCACAGGGAACUGUUGUUAGACACAACUUGAUGAACAGGUAGUCAAGCCCCUGAAGACCAGCGAGGAGGAGAAAAGCCUGCUGUGGAUGAGCAAGCUAGAACAAUAACACCUAGCUAUAUCAGAUAAACAUGUUCAGGAAAAGCAGGGAGCUAGUAGUAGUAACAUUAUUAUUUGAAACCUCACAUGCUCAUAAUCUGUAUCUGUGUUCUAUUUAAGCAAUAAGGCACCUCAGGGGUUUGUGGUAUAUGGACGAUAUACCAGGGCUAAGGGCUGUUCUUAUGCACGACGUAACGCAAAGUGCCUUAUUGCUAUUAAAAACUGCUUACAAACGUAAUUACAACAGUAAACAAGUAGUAUUGACUCAUACCUGUGGUAUACGGUCUGAUAUACCAUGGCUUGCUACAGUAUCUGUCUCAUGUUGUACUGAUCAUCAACAUGAACAAGACUGAAUUCUGUAGAAUUGUCAACUGAUCUAAAUUCUUGUUAGGAAGAUGUUUCUGUUCAGAAUGACAUGUUUAUGACUGUUGAUCACAGGAAUCUCCGAAUGCCAUGUAGAAUGAGCACCAUGGAUGAAAGGAGGGGGAGGAAAACGGACAGCUUCUUUCUACCACACCUUCACCAAGUCAUACAAUGUUUGCUUCAUGAAUAAUUGUUACAUUUGAAUUCAGCCUUUGUAGUUUGGAAAGUAUAGUGACUAUUAUUGCUUCAAUUUAUUUAUCAAACAAAUGUGGGUUUGGAAAAUUAGGUACUUUUCGCAAAACAAUCCCCUCUUCUUUCUACCACACCUUCACCAAGUCAUACAAUGUUUACUUCAUGAAUAAUUGUUACAUCUGAAAUAGAUACAUUAUUAUUUUAGUAUAUUCUGUUUCUAAUGUUUGUUUUUUAAUGCUGGAUGUGAGUAAUUUAGCAGGUCUAUAGUAAUGAUGUAUUGUUUUGGAACAUGUAACUAUCUAUUCAGUCAAAAUUCACUUAUUUUAUGUUUGCUAAAAUGUUUUGUAGUGUUUGUAAUGAGAAUUAAUGAGCUAUUUUCAAAACAUUGGAUUACCAACUUGAGAGGUGCUGUCUCAGUUUGCAUCACAUUGUCACAUGGACGUGUGUGUGUGUAUAUAUAUACACACUGAACAGAAAUAUAAACGCAACAUGUAAAGUGUUGGUCUCAUGUUUCAAGAGCUGAAAUAAAAGAUCCCAG
rnacentral:lncRNA from 1 species